GUGGGGAAUCUUGCGCAAUGGGCGAAAGCCUGACGCAGCCAUGCCGCGUGAAUGAUGAAGGUCUUAGGAUUGUAAAAUUCUUUCACCGGGGACGAUAAUGACGGUACCCGGAGAAGAAGCCCCGGCUAACUUCGUGCCAGCAGCCGCGGUAAUACGAAGGGGGCUAGCGUUGCUCGGAAUUACUGGGCGUAAAGGGCGCGUAGGCGGAUCGUUAAGUCAGGGGUGAAAUCCCAGAGCGCAACUCUGGAGCUGCCCUUGAUACUGGCGAUCUUGAGUUUGAGAGAGGUAUGUGGAACUCCGAGUGUAGAGGUGAAAUUCGUAGAUAUUCGGAAGAACACCAGUGGCGAAGGCGACAUACUGGCUCAUUACUGACGCUGAGGCGCGAAAGCGUGGGGAGCAAACAGGAUUAGAUACCCCAGUAGUCC
rnacentral:rRNA from 1 species